rfam:Heterocephalus glaber contig36749, whole genome shotgun sequence.
GGAUGUGAGGGCAAUCUGGCUGCGACAUCUGUCACCCUAUUGAUCGCCAGGGUUGAUUCGGCUGAUCUGGCUGGCUAGGCGGGUGUCCCCUUCCUCCCUCACUGCUCCAUGUGGAUCCCUCCUGAAGCUGUGCACUUGAUUGAAGAGGACGACCACCUCAGAUAGAGGAGGACUGUUUCCUUGGUCAAGGGUAUAUGAGUAGCUGCACUCCCCUGCUAGAACCUCCAAACAAACUCUCAAAGAUUUUUCUUUCCCAUUAAGUUUAUUGGUACAUUUUUGGUAUAAAAUACAGUUACAUUCAUCAUUGGGAUCUUGUACCUUUACAUGAUUCUCUUGGU